AGUGAACGCUGGCGGUAGGCCUAACACAUGCAAGUCGAACGGCAGCACAGGAGAGCUUGCUCUCUGGGUGGCGAGUGGCGGACGGGUGAGGAAUACACCGGAAUCUACUCUGUCGUGGGGGAUAACGUAGGGAAACUUACGCUAACACCGCAUACGCCCUACAGGUGAAAGCAGGGGAUCUUCGGACCUUGCGCGAUUGAAUGAGCCGAUGUCGGGUUAGAGAGUUGGCGCGGUAAAGGCCCACCAAGGCGACGAUCCGUAGCUGGUCUGAGAGGAUGAUCAGCCACACUGGAACUGAGACACGGGCCAGACUCCUACGGGAGGCAGCAGUGGGGAAUAUUGGACAAUGGGCGCAAGCCUGAUCCAGCCAUACCGCAUGGGUGAAGAAGGCCUUCGGGUUGUAAAGCCCUUUUGUAGGGAAAGAAAUCCAGCUGGUUAAUACCCGGUUGGGAUGACGGUACCCAAAGAAUAGGCACCGGCUAACUUCGUGCCAGCAGCCGCCGCCG
rnacentral:rRNA from 1 species